rnacentral:rRNA from 1 species
AGAGUUUGAUCCUGGCUCAGGAUGAACGCUAGCUACAGGCUUAACACAUGCAAGUCGAGGGGCAGCAUGUCGGUUGCUUGCAACCGAUGAUGGCGACCGGCGCACGGGUGAGUAACGCGUAUCCAACCUACCCUUGUCCAUCGGAUAACCCGUCGAAAGGCGGCCUAACACGAUAUGCGGUUCACAGCGGGCAUCUAACGUGAACGAAAUGUGAAGGAGAAGGAUGGGGAUGCGUCUGAUUAGCUUGUUGGCGGGGUAACGGCCCACCAAGGCUACGAUCAGUAGGGGUUCUGAGAGGAAGGUCCCCCACAUUGGAACUGAGACACGGUCCAAACUCCUACGGGAGGCAGCAGUGAGGAAUAUUGGUCAAUGGACGAGAGUCUGAACCAGCCAAGUAGCGUGCAGGAUGACGGCCCUAUGGGUUGUAAACUGCUUUUAUAGGGGGAUAAAGUGUGCCACGUGUGGCAUAUUGCAGGUACCCUAUGAAUAAGGACCGGCUAAUUCCGUGCCAGCAGCCGCGGUAAUACGGAAGGUCCAGGCGUUAUCCGGAUUUAUUGGGUUUAAAGGGAGCGUAGGCCGUUUGGUAAGCGUGUUGUGAAAUGUCGGGGCUCAACCUGGGCAUUGCAGCGCGAACUGCCAGACUUGAGUGCGCAGGAAGUAGGCGGAAUUCGUCGUGUAGCGGUGAAAUGCUUAGAUAUGACGAAGAACUCCGAUUGCGAAGGCAGCCUGCUGUAGCGCAACUGACGCUGAAGCUCGAAAGCGUGGGUAUCGAACAGGAUUAGAUACCCUGGUAGUCCACGCGGUAAACGAUGGAUGCUCGCUGUUUGCGUCUGACGUAAGCGGCCAAGCGAAAGCGUUAAGCAUCCCACCUGGGGAGUACGCCGGCAACGGUGAAACUCAAAGGAAUUGACGGGGGCCCGCACAAGCGGAGGA